UUGGCCAAGUUGUCCAUAAGUCUUUUGAUUUCAUUGGUGUUUUAGUUUUGUGUCUUGCGUUUUUAUUGGUUUUGGGAUUUGUUCCCUCCAAAAGUUCUUUGUGUCAGUUCAUUCUUUGUCUGAAAUUUGAAGUGACCAGUCCAUAAAUCAGUGUAUAAGUUUUGAGUUGACAUAGACCUAAUAGUACUACCUGAGACUGACUUUUCCUCUCAAUCGUGUGGACCCAGUCAACUGCGUCUUGGUUUCCAAUAUCUUCCAGAGCGUCAACGAGAUUCGUUAGAGCUUUCAUGCGGUCUUCUUGUCGUUCACGUGCCACGAUUAACAUCUGAUAGUACAACAUUGCGAUGGCAAAACUCCAACCACGUGUAAAGAAAACAGCUAUAGUUGUUACACCCUGUUGACUGAAACUGCGAAACAAUUUUGAAAAGAAUGUAAAAGUUUAAGAACUGCAAUCGCAAGUCCUACCUGGAAUGGAAACAGUGCUUCUUUCUGAAACAAUAAUUUCCUUGAUACAAUCAGAAGGAUCAGAAACAAGUUAUACAACUUACAUAUUCUUAUUCGCAAGAUUUACAAAAUUUCCUUUGCUUGAUAUUGAAAAUUAUUUUCCCUUGGCAUAUUGGAUAUUUCCAUCAAAUGAUGUACAUGUGGCUCCACCUUCAUGUGGCUUAUCAAAACAAAUUGUUCAAAGAACAAAAACUAUGUUGAUUACCACUUGAUGCAAAUUAAUUUAAUCAAUUACCAAAGAAAAUAUACUUUUUAAAGAUGUCAUACUUACAAAAACAAAAGUUUAUAUCAACAUCAGAAAAUUGUACAUUCUCAUUAAACGGCAUAAUAAAAGUAUAUAAUCAAAGUACUGAAGGUACUGAAACGAGGUGACGUUUGGCAGUGACUUCAGCUUGUCUUUGGACAAGAGGCAUCAUUUCUACAUUUGCCAUUGAAACUACAUACAAUUCAAAAGCUGCACCCUCUUCACGCCCAAAGAGCUUUCUCAAAAGAGCUUGUAAAUUUGAAAAACCACUGACUGUCAACAAAACAGAGCAACCGUCUGCCUUAACAUUUGCGUUUGCAUCACGUGCAUGUGGAUCGAAAACAUGGAACAGAUUGCCUGAGCAGAAUACAGCAACAGAACUGCCAUUGCAUAUAAAUAUACCUCCAUCUUUGGUAUUUGCGAAGCAUAA